UACGUAGGCGGCAAGCGUUGUCCGGAGUUAUUGGGCGUAAAGCGCGCGCAGGCGGUUUGUUAAGUCUGAUGUGAAAGCCCCCGGCUCAACCGGGGAGGGGCAUUGGAAACUGGGGGACUUGAGUGCUGGAGAGGAGAGUGGAAUUCCAUGUGUAGCGGUGAAAUGCGUAGAUAUAUGGAGGAACACCUGUGGCGAAGGCGGCUCUCUGGACCGUAACUGACGCUGAGGCUCGAAAGCGUGGGUAGCAAACAGG
rnacentral:rRNA from 1 species